GUGCACAGCAGGUACUCCUGUUUUCUUUUUAUAUCUCUUUUAUAUAAUUUAUCCUUUUCCCUGGUGGUAGAGGUUUAGGGAAAAAAUAUAUAUUCUUUUUUUUCCACAAUUGGAAAGAAAAUCUUGGGUGUAAGGAAAUCAUUCAUUCCACAUAAGUAGCAAAUUUAUUUUUCUCAACUGAUUAUAUUCCAUUAAAUAUAUUUGUUUAGUUUGCCAUAAUGAUAUUAAAUCUAUUUCUUUAUGAGUAUAAUGACACAUUUGGAAAAUUAUUUACAACUCCAAAACUGUAAAAAACAUUUACAUAUGUUUUCAUUCAAUUUGCUGUUGUUGUAGUCAUUAAUGUACCUUAGGUCUUUGAGUUUUGUGGCCUUGUAAUUAUUUCAGUACUGCCAUUAAUCAGCUUACAUAGGACAAGUCACUGACAGAAUUCACAGAAUGGAGGCUCUUCUCACAGGGGCUUGCUCUUCACAGCAAGAAGGAAUGGAAAGGUAGAAAAAGAGGCAGAAAGAAUUUACACUUGCUAUAACCAGAUUAUGUUUCUAAAAGAAAGUGAGGCACUGGCUGAGACAUAAUGGUCUAUACUUUUCCCACCUUUUGAAUCAUUUUAGACUACCCUUGAAUUGUUCCCUCUUUUUUUAGAAGAGGGAGUGGGCAAGAGGCCAGAAUGUUAUCUUAGAGAAGUCCAAUUCCACAGAGAGGGGGCUCAGCACACCCUCCUCCAACAAAUUAACAUAUAAUGAAAGCUAAUAAAAAUAAAAAGUGGGUUGAAUUAUAUAAAUAUAGCAUGUUUGGCAUCAUCAAAUAUAACUCCUUUCAAAGUGAAAAUAUCUAUAACUUUUAUAUUUCUCUAAUUUUUAUUUUUAUUCAAAAAUAUAGGCUAUUUUUAAUUGGCAUGUAUGAUCCAUCUCUAUGUUUAAAUCAGUUUCACAAAUUGAAACUUUUAAAUCAUUCUCAAGAGAUCUUGCAUUUUAACAAACUUUAUUGCAUUGAAAUAAUGUGGUUGCAAUGCCAUGUUCCCUAAAAGGAACAAAAGUUCAACAACUAAAGCACUAAGAAUAGCUACCUUAAAUCUUCUUUUUUUCAAUUUUCAUUUUUUAGCAAUAUCUGUUUCAACUGUUGAGUGACCACUAAACUUGAAUUUCAUGCUUUGAACAAAAUACUAUAUAUAUGUAAAGACAUAUAUAUCUUUAAAGCCAAAGACAGACUGCUAGUCCAGAAUUUCUCUUUGUUAAAAUAAUAUAGUAUACUUAGUGUGGUUUUUUUUAAAAAAAAAAAAAAACUAUUUUACACUUUUAGGAUUUGUCUUACAGUUUCAGUUUUCAAUGACUUUUAUGCAUUUCAAUCCUGAAGUAAGUUUGUGAAACUAAAAUACUAUCUACCUUGGGAUCUAAAUGUUUCUACUUUUUAGCAGCAGCACUUUGAUGUUUAUCAAAGCCUUCUAGUUGCAAAGUAGUGAACAAAAAGCACCAAAAUAACAGUCUCCAAGUUAUUUAUACUUAAAUAUGUUUUGAACAUAUGGGAAAAAUAUUUUCCCUAUCAACAUAUACAUUUCACAAGGGACAUUUUCUAUAUAUGACAAAGAGUUAAAUAAGCAUGUAGCUCAUGUGCACCUAGUUACAUAAACUAAAAGAAUAAUUUAAUGAUUUUUCAUUCUGAGUCACCCAUUUGAUUAGAGAACUUCAUUACAACAUUUAAAACAUCACUAUCAAAAGGUAAGACAAUAAUUAAUCUUAUGUUGAAGACACAUACUUUAUAUCCUCAGUACCUCACACAGAAUUUGGAUACUAGUGUAUAAUACAGAAUCAAUAUAUUUUACAUAUUUGUAUUUAUAUAUUCAAAAAUCUAUCUUUUCUAUAACAAAGUAAAUUUUUCUUGGAGAAAAAUUUUGCUGGAUCUUGGUUUUAAAAAUGUAUAAUCUAUAGAUAAAUAUGUGUUUGUGAUUUUUAUAAACAUGGUUUUCUAUAUAUUCUUGGUAGAAAUGCUUGCUUUCAGAGCUUGUAAAUAGUAAUUUUUGCAAUAAUAGGAAUAGUCCACUGUCAGCUUAAACACAAUCACUACUGACAAUAUAAGAGUAUUUUUGGGCAAAGCAAAAACUAUGCAACUUUAUUCAUCCCUAUAAAUCUUCUCUCUUCACCAUAAAUGUGACACCCAGAUGAAGAGAGUGAAUAUUUGGAUGAACUGUGUAUGAUCAGGAUCAGUCAGCUGAUUAUUCCAAACACUCAAGUUGUUACAUUUUUAAAUGUAUUUUGAAUCCUCUAUAAAUAUAGAGUGUGCCUUCCAAUUUUGAAUGAUGUUAUGCAAAGUGCUGUACUCAAAAAAGGCAAAAAAAAGGAAGCUUGAUUUUUCUAAGCAAAGCUUGGCUGCUCAAAACUGUGGUGAGAAGCUUGGUCAUAUUCAAUCUCAUUAAUCAUUGCAAAGAUUAAAUAUUUUUGCAUGGCUUGAAAUCGAUACAUACCUUCUGGUUCAGCAACAGGAAUUGAAACUGAAAAGUGCUUGGGGCAUAGGGUAAGCAUAAUUUAUACAAUGAGCUUUUUGGCAAUUUCUUACUUUCUUCCUCCCUCUGGUCUAUUUCCUUUCUUUGGCUGUGCAGUUACUAAGCUGACAUUCCUCAAAUUUCCUCCCACCAAUAGACUCUUCAUUUCUCAUUUCUUACCUUUUACUGACCUAUUUUCCACCCUUUUAACUCCAACCAACAAAUGAAAAGCUUUGUGAGCUGUUACUCUCAGCAGCAAUGGGCAGCUUUCCUUUGGAAAUAAGUGAGUGCAAUUGUCCCCUAAUAGACUCUGUCCUCUUUAGCCCAGAGUAAUCGAACCUAUUAAUUUCUCCUGUUUCUUGGGCCAGAAUGCACUUCCUGGGGAAGAAUGGUGAGAAGAGGGAGCCACAGACUUGUAGGUAAUUCUCUUAAAUGGCAGGCAAUGGAUUGGGUGAGGAUAAUUUUUUGGAAAGAGUGUGUUCAAAAAGAAAUGGGUUCCUUUGAACUUUGAGAUUCUUAUCUAUGAUCUAUGCCUAUUCCACUGGCAGUCCAAACUUUGAAAUCUCAUGGUACUCUCCUAUAAAAUAUAAAACCCUAGGAUUUGUGCUUAUUUGAUUGUUUCUUAUCUGUUCCUAUUUGGGAAAUUGAUGUGAAAAUUAUGGGUUGGAUUUGUUUGAGAAGCAUAUAUAGAGAUCAUCGAUAUGGGUGCAUUUUAAGUCUUUACAAUAAAACAAACAAAAAGAGCUCAAUCAUGGAAUACAAAUUCACAUAAAUAGGAAUUUCCAGUUAUUUCUGCAUACUUCUCUCUGAUAAUAUCCACUUACAUUAAAAAAGUACUUCAUCUGGAUCUUUUUGUUAAAUAUGAUAUAAAAUCAAAUUGAGAUGCCAUUUUUCCAUGCUUUAAAAAGUAAUGAAAAGCUUUUGGCUGCCUUAUCAUAGAAUGCAAAAAUUAAAUUUUGAGAGUUUUAAUAUCAUACAGAAAUAACUAGAUUUUAUUUGGGGGACCAAAGUUCAAAAUCAGACCUGUAUUUUGGAUCUUUUAAGCAUUAAAACAUAUUCAUGAAUAUACAUCUGACACUUUAAAUGUUAUACCAUGAGUAAGCUUUAUAAAAUACCAUUGAAAAUUCAUCUCUGUUUAUAAAUAUAUGAGACACUAUCUCAGUUAAUUGUAUCCUUAAGGACAGGCAAAGCUGUGAAUACUAGAGAUUAAAUGAAAUGAGAUCAGAUGAGCUCCCUCAGACCCUUGCUGAGUUCUAGGACUCACUAUGGCUUUAUUAACCCAUGUAGAAAAUUGGGUUACGAUAGGCCUCAUUAAAAUCAGGUGAUUCACUUAAAAUAGGUUUUCUCAGAGUUUAAAAUCAUAACAUUAAUGAAAGUGUUCUAUAGUUACAGAAUUGCCAAUUCACAACUCUAAAGAAUAAAGGCAGGUGAUCUCAUUCUAGAAAUUACCUUGGAAAAUAUAAAGUACAAUAUAAAAAUAACCUAUGUUGUUGCUAUAUUUAAUAUUAUUGGUUUAAUAUUAGAAAUUAAUACAAAUAUGCUCAAUUUUCUAAAAGAAUAGAAGGAAGGAAAGUUACAGCCCUGGUGACAAGUUCCAGUCCAAAUAAAACAUUCUCAAUGCAUGUGCCCAUGAAAUAAUGUGAAACAAAUGAUUUCUUCAGUACCACAGUUUGAGAAGUUGGGUCUCAAAGCCUCAUCUGAAUAAACAAAAUAUGUGCCACAAUGACAGCUACUUCAUUUUAUUUUACAGUCUUAUGCCUCCUGCUUUUGUUCAUCAGAAUGGAGCAAGUUCCCUACUAAUAAAUUAUUCCAAAGGUCUUUAAAAUCAUAAAUAUGUAUUCGUAUGUUAUUCACUACAAGAUUUUCUCCUUCUCUGUGUGUUUAGGUGGAUCACUCAAUUCUCUAUAUUUUUAUUAUGAAUUAAAUAUUUAUCCUUACAUUUAAUGUUUUAUUUUUAUUUUUUAUUGAAGUAUAGUUGAUUUACAAUGUUGUGUUAGUUUCUGCUGUUGAGCAAAGUGAUUCAGUUAUGCAUAUGUAUACUUUUUUUUAUUCUUUUCCAUUAUGGCUUAUCACAAGACAUUGAAUAUAAUUCCCUGUGCUAUACAGUAAGUCCUUGUUUAUCAAUCCUAUAUAAAAUAGUUUGUAUCUGCUAAUCCCAAACUCCCAAUCCAUCCCUCCCGUGUUUCCCUCCCUUUUGGCAAUCACAAGUCUGUUUGCUAUAACUGAGUCUGUUUCUGUUUCAUAAAUAAGUUCAUUUGUGUCAUAUUUUUAUUCCACAUAUAACUGAUAUUAUAUCUUGUAUUUCUUACCCAUUGUUAAUAUAUCUAUUGGUAUUUAGUUUGACUACCUUUUUCCACAAGAUACAUCAUCUAAUUUUU
rnacentral:lncRNA from 1 species